rnacentral:rRNA from 1 species
GACGAACCGUGCGAACGUUAUUCGGAAUCACUGGGCUUAAAGCGCGUGUAGGCGGGUCGCCACGGCGGGCGCUGAAAUCCCCCGACUCAACCGGGGAACGGGCACCGAUACGAGCGGCCUGGAGGGGAGUAGGGGGACCUGGAACUUCCGGUGGAGCGGUGAAAUGCGUUGAGAUCGGAAGGAACGCCCGUGGCGAAAGCGAGGUCCUGGGCUCCUGCUGACGCUGAGACGCGAAAGCCAGGGGAGCGAACGGG